CGGUCUGGACAAUCGCUGCACACGUAGAGGAAAGUCCAUGCUCGCACGGGCUGCGAUGCUCGUAGUGAUUGCGCUAGCGGAAAUAAUAACGCUAGGUACGUAGGAGUACGUAACGGCGGGAACCUUAACCUAAGGGCAACUAUGGUUAAGACCCUGAAAGUGCCACAGUGACGUAGUUUAUUAGAAAUAAUAAAGUGGAACGCGGUAAACCCCACAAGCGAGAAACCCA
rnacentral:RNase_P_RNA from 1 species